rnacentral:rRNA from 1 species
AACGCGAAAACCUUACCAGCCCUUGGCAUUUGGCGCUAUAUCGGGAGACCGAUAGUUCCCUUCGGGGACGUCAGGACAGGUGCUGCAUGGCUGUCGUCAGCUCGUGUCGUGAGAUGUUGGGUUAAGUCCCGCAACGAGCGCAACCCUCGCCCUUAGUUGCCAUCAUUCAGUUGGGCACUCUAGGGGGACUGCUGGUGAUAAGCCGGAGGAAGGUGGGGAUGACGUCAAGUCCUCAUGGCCCUUACGGGCUGGGCUACACACGUGCUACAAUGGCGGUGACAGUGGGCAGCGACCUCGCGAGGGGAAGCUAAUCUCCAAAAGCCGUCUCAGUUCGGAUUGUUCUCUGCAACUCGAGAGCAUGAAGUUGGAAUCGCUAGUAAUCGCGUAACAGCAUGACGCGGUGAAUACGUUCCCGGGUCUUGUACACACGCA